GAUUCUGAGUAAAGUUCGGUGAAAAAAAUUAUUCUAAUGCUUCAGGAAUCUACAUUUCCCCCAUUUAUAAACAUGUAAGAAAUCAGAACACCACAGGCUGUAUUCAACAGGAAUCAGCAGUCUUCAAUUGGCAUUGGAAUUAUAAAGACAAAAACACAGAGAUGGAUAGUUGGUGUGGGCCUCUAUUUAUUAUUUUUAAUAAGCAAUUCACCGGGUAAAACAAAUACUGUUACAACACAAAAAAAAUGAUACAUUGUAAAGCAAAUCUUGGCAACAAGUUUUAUAACAACUUCAUAAUAAAAAGACAAGAGUUUUUCUUUUUUUUUUCUUUUCGCUAAUCAAGCUGUUUUCUCCCUUUAAAUUAGAAAAGAACAGACACACUCUUCACUGGGCAACUAUGUUGCAGCGAAAUGUGCUGUCCCAAGAACCUCUCUCUCUUUAAUCAUUUGCAAAUGCAAACACUUGUCAAUAAUAAAUAAUACUAUAAAAUGUUCUGCAAGUACACAAAAAAGUUGAGAAUUCACCACAAGGUCAAUGUACAGUGGAAGGAAGUGUGGGGGGAAGGAGGGGCGGGGUGGAGCUGGGUAGAUAGACUUAGCAAAAUCUGGGGAUUCAUACAAGUCACAGAAAAGCAUCUAUACAUCAACACUAGCAAGAUAAUAAAGUUGUUUUGAUUUUUUUUGUAAGUUUUGUUUUUUACAAAGUGGGAUUUUAAACAAGCAAGCAUCUUCAUCAUUGUCUGACCUAUGGAGCGCACAAGCAAGAUUUAAGGCAGCUUUUUCUGUUUUUCACCGUUGAAAAGUAACAUUAAAACAUUAAAAAUGUUAAGUUGUCUUUUUUGUUAUUGUUGAUUUUCACGAAUGCCUCACACUUGAAGAGUAGGAAGUUGUCAUUGCAUAAUUCUGGCUGUUUCUGUAGUCAUCCUCUCUCACUGAACAAGUUACAAGGUUGCUCCCCCUCUCUGCCCCAUGCCUAAUAGAGUCCCAUACCAACAGCAUGAACAACUGUUGGCUUCACUAUCAGAUGCAUCCACAGCUAGGACUACUAAUCACCAGGUGACACUACAGUGGUGCUAUGAAGUUAAUAAUGGCCAGACGCACUGUAUGCUUCCAAAACGCUGUUCUAAGAUGAGAAUAUAACUGGUAGUGCUGGUAUUGUUAUUUUGUCUCUAUGUGUUGUAACAUAUGUGUGUUUGUGUAUGUUUAUGUGUAUGUGCAUAUGUGUGAAAGGGGUAAGCAUAGGUUUUCCCUCAUUACAGACUUGGAAAGAUAUGCAUUUGUACAUUUUGACAUUGACACAUUUGGCCCUAUCAUUAACUCAUUCAUUGAUGUGCACUCGCAUACUGUAGGUUAUGAGAUCCAACCCAUAUGAUGUGUAUGAGCUCUGGCUUGUGGCUCUCAGAUGUAUUUGGGAUUCCCACUGCAUAACACGAACAACCCCUCUGCCAAUGUCUCUAGUAUGUCUUGUUAUACAGUGUCCAGUGUUUUACAAUCACUUCUUUCUCUUUGGGCAUAACUUGUUGUUUAAACAUAGAAGAUAACCACACUGACACCUGCUGGAGAUGUUGCCAUGUUACCUCACUCUUUACCAACGGCCACAGUCUAAGAGGACUGAUUUGCUUUAGCUUGUUGCCUUUUCGCAAUAUGAGGUGUUUCCAACUUAUCUACUUGUAGUCCUGCUGUAAGACCAGAGACCUGGCUAAUCUGUGAUGUGCUUCAGAUCUUUCUUCAGGGACAUCAGGGGGUAACCUUAUUUGAGCUCUUUUUAUGAAUGUGACAUGGACGAGCACCAAGUGUGAUUCAAAUGUUAUGCAGCACAAGUCUAAAGCAUGAAUCAGCAGCAUGAGCACGAAGGGGGAGAAUGUCAGUUGUGGAGUAACUCUCACUAUCUGUCAAGGACAGUGUCAGUCUGCGGUCAGGUUAGCCACACAGUCACACACACACACACACACACAUACAAACACACGUACACACACACACACACACACACACAGAGACAUUUCUGCCACACGACAAAAGCUGGUGUCAUUGUCUCCCACAGUCUCCCACGUCUGUCAGGAACCGCAGUCACUACAACAGUUUCUAGUUUCAUCGCUAUAUCUGUCUCAAACCGUCUCCCCGGCUACGGUUACACCAGCAAGGUCGCACAGACAUGCACACUGAGAAAUGAAAAUCAUAUUUCAGUAUCUCUGAGCUUACACCCAGACCUGAGAGCUAUUGAAAUGUUUGGGUGCACUUAUGCACUUGUGAGUGAAGAAUGGCCUUCUUGUCAGCCUUUGAUAUAACUGCUGGCUUGAAAAGGUUGAGAGUGAAUGGGUGGCCCUUGAUGAGUGAAUUACAGUGAAUGUGUGUGUUUAGAAACAUAUCUCUUUUUGUAAGGUUAUAACUAUUAGUACAAUUUGGCUGUGUGUGUCUGCGUGCGUCUGGUGUGUGUGUGUGUUUAGAGCUUAUCGGGCUUUCCAUCAUAUCUGUCACACCACUGCCCCCUCAGGAAAAAAAACUAAACAGUACCUUUACAAGAGGAGUCAUGGUAACAUGAUAAGGGUAGACAUGACAGCUGAGAAUCAGGAUAUCCAAUCAAUUGAAAAAAAAUAAACAAUUUUCCUCAGUCCAGGAGACAUGUGUGUUUCCCUGAGCACUGUGGGCAAGUGUGUGUGCUUCUGCCAUUUAUUUACAUAUAGAGAUUGAAUGUCUUUCUAUACAUGUAUUGUGUGUCUAUGUGUGUGUGUGUGUGAGAGAGAGAGAGACAGUGUGCGGGAGUAGUGUAGUGUGUGUGUAUGUGUGUGUGUGUGUGUGUGUGUGUGUGGUCUGAGUAUAUGUUCACACAAUGUCCUUAGCAGGAUAUUAAGUGCAUGUGCACUGGUGUACAGUACUGUACGUGCUCGCUGGUGUGUCUGGGAGAAGGAGCCCCCGGACCGUUUAAGGGCUUGAAUCUGGAAAAAUCACGAAGACAAAUGAGCAAAAAAGAAACAGAAGAAAUCUGAGGCAUUAAUUAGAGGGACACUCGAUCCCACUCUUGGCGUGAGUGAACCAACUCUGAAAUGCCUGACCAUCAACACGGGCCAGGUUGGGUUGCAGCGCGCUCUCUGAGUCAACAGUCUCUAAUCUGAACACUGGUGUCUGGUUCCACUGGCUUGGCGGACAUAAAGACAGACAAACACUGGGACUGAGUACGAGAGAGCGAGAGAGAGGGAGAGAGAGAGAGAGAGAGAGAGAGAGAGAGAGAGAGAGAGGGAGAGGGAGCGAGAGAGGGAGAGAGAGAGAGAGAGAGAGAGAGAGAGAGGGAAGCAGAGAGGGAGGAGUGGAGCCCCUCGGACCCACUACUUUUGACCUAUCAUGCAUUGAUCAUGUGUGUUGCCAUUGCCCAUACAUGUGAAUAUGCCUCUGUGUGCAUAAGGUACGGGUCGUGAAUGUUUGUGUGUUUGUUUACGAACACUUGUGGUAGGGGUUGAGAUAAAUUUGAACUUUCUAUUGACAUUUAAAGAGUGCUACUAAGGGGUAUACAAAAAAAAGGAGGAAAGUUAGGAGCUUUCCAGUAAACUAACUCCCUGCAGACUGACAUAGGGUCCAAUGUAAAAUGGAGAUGAGAAGCCAGUUGAAACGUGUAACAAUUAGACCUCUGAGCAUUCUUUUCGGAAAAAAAGAGAAAAGAAAAACAUUUAACGUGAAACCAAAUUCCUCAGGAAAGAGGUAAGGGGGAUGGAGUGAGAUUACACCUCCCUUUGUGUAGCGUCCAGGAGUGGGGUGGGAGAGAAAAGAAAAAAAACGAGCAAGAGGGAGAAGCAGCGGUCUGUGAGAGUGGCGGGGAGCAGGGGGGAGAUUUCUGCUCAACUUUGGUGAGACAGAUUGAAAAGAACAUGAAAAUCAGAGCAGAGGGACUUUUUUUGUAUGAAAUUAGGGGGGGGAAAUCUGGCACAUAUACAGUGAGAGCUCUGGAUUUUGCAGGAAAUCCCACACUAGCAGAAGAAAUCUCAACUUUAUUGUAUAAGUAUUUCUUUCCCUUUUUUCUGAUUAGAUGCUAGUAUCCAUACAUCUGACUAUUUCAACUUUUUUUCAUGAACUGUGUGGCAAACGUGUGCAUGACUCAGCUUCUAAUUGUAGUCCUCUACAUGUCAUGUUUUGGCAUGGAUGAAGUGUUUCAAACAUUCUUUCUGUUUAUUGACCCUACCUUUACAUUUUGAAGGAUUUGGCUUUAGGAGACAGCUCACUUUUUUGGCAGUGUGGCAAGGACGCACACACGCUUGAGAUCAAAUUUCCAUUUCCGCACACAGUCAUUGAAAGUCAACUGUAUUACGGAUGUGCUCGAGUGCGAAAUUAUAACACUAGUGGUUUGUUGGUCUGCAGAUACAAUAUGUAUUGUAUAUCAGCUUGGCUGCUCGACUUCCUGUGGGCUCAGAGUAAAUCUUGGUGACAAGUACUUGGCAUCUAAAAUCUCUUGGGCCACACUGGUGUACUCCAGUGCUUGAAAAGGACAUGUAAUUUAAGCACAAGGGUUGUCCUCACAAAUUAUACUCAAAAAUGAGUAAACUCUCUAAAAAAGACAACUUUUCCAUUUGCAUAACAGGAAAGUCAAUGACACAUUGAACAAAAAAAAAAAAAACCUUAGGCUGAGAAUUUAGCACUGCAUAGAUGUAAGGAUAGAAGUGUUACCUUUGAUUCAGGGCAUUUCCUCAGCACCACCCCCCUGUUCAGGUGUUCAUUGGCUGCCUGAUUCUGAUUGACCUAUUACUUGAUUUUCAGUAGUGCAACCCUAACAAAUGAUUUCACAACAAAGAUUUCAGAUUAGCCCCAGCACAGAGGUGUCAGUCAUUUUUGAUUCACGUGUGUCUACAAAUUCCUGUAUAAUUGUAGGUGCUGGCCCACCAUAGAUUGUUUUGAGCCAUCUUAGAGAUGGCACGCAAAUCUCUCUUGAACAUAAAAGUCGGUCUCAGGACCCCUGUACAUGGGACUCAUUUAUGAAAGGAGAACGGAGUUUUCAACUCUGUCCGGUCUUGUCUUUACCGCUACUAAUGGAGCAAUCAGUGGACCUGAUUGGUGGUUCGUUUUUCAUGACUAAAACAGCAAUAAGUUCUGAUCAGAGCAGCCCACAAAAUCCAACUUGCUGCAGGACCUCUCCACACUUCAGUCUUAACAUGAUGGCACAACGAUGGUCUGGGUUUGUUGGUGGAGGUUGCCUAGCGCCCCAAACCUGCUGCUGCAUAAACUGUGGAAUGGAACCGGAACUGCUACCCAGGGGUGGCCAAUGGCAGAAUUUGGCACCCGUGUCCCCAAACCCCAGGUUUAUGCUGGUGAGGUCUCUACCCUGUUUGUCCAUGAAUCAGUGAGCCAAUACUCCAUUGCACAUCCUCUCGCUGCUUGAAAAUCGUAAAAAAAAAACAGUCCAACAGUACCGUGCUCUCCAUUUUCUCCCCUUCCCAACCACCAUGUUCUCCCUCUGGUUCUGUCCAUACUGAGAGGAGCAAGGCGGAGAGAGUCCCUGGCUCCCCCUUGUCGCUCAGCCAGAGGAAAAACACUGACAGGACAUGAGGAUGAAAUUUCAUCUCCUCGUCUUCACCUUCUCAUUUUUUUAACAAGAAAAACAUUCCCCCAUGAUUGUUUUACACCUUCCAGGAGUUCCUCUCUUUUUUUUCUCUUCCUCUUUUUUUUUCAGUACGCCAAUUCAUAAACAUCAGCUCUGCUUCCAUUAGGGGCCAAGAGAGGGUGAAGGGUGUGAGGAGGUUGGGUUAAAACAGAGAAAGAGAAAGAGAACGAGAAAAAAGGAAGAAAAAGAGAAAGAGAGACAGAGAGGGGAGGGAUGGGCCAUGUUCUCGUGGCGCUCUGGCCAUGUCCUCUUGGCGCUCAGUCAGUCCACAACACAGUGCAGUACAGCAAAUCUCCAGCGACCUCUUCCUCAGCAGGAACCCCCCUAAGGCCUAGCCACUGAUGACAGACUCCGCGCAUUGGGAUGAAGCCCACGCGUCUUUCGCUGGACGUACACACACACACACACACACACACACACACACACACACACAACCCUGUUUUUCAGACACAAUCAAAUGGCGUCCAUCAUCGAUGUUCCAGUGAAGCUGGGAUUGCAGGUAAAGAGUGAAGGCCUGAGCAGACGCUGCUUUAGCAUACCACAGUCUCAAGCCCUGUAUUUUGGGACGCUGUGGGCUCUCUGGCUGUGGAGGAUCACGUCUCAGAUGGGGAUUGGGGGGGGGGGGGGGCAUCUAAAAAGGAAUGUCUCUAAUGUGAGAAAUGUGAGAAGAGGAUUCUGGCAUCCCUGGUGGGGCCCUACGUGAAGGCUCAAUGUCAUCAGUGACAGCGACAUGCUGUCAGUCUGUGCAGACUGGGGGGGAGCAGGGGAGCCCACUGUGGGCAGCUGUGUGUCGUAGUGUUGGGAGGGUUGGUCGUGUCGUGGCUGGAUGUGAUGGUGAGGGGCAAACGGCUGGUGGCUGCUAAGGGACUUUCCUCAUCACGUUGACUGUUGGCUGCCAUCUGUCAGAGCUGAGGAGAAGAUGAA
ensembl:lncRNA